AGAGUUUGAUCAUGGCUCAGGACGAACGCUGGCGGCGUGCUUAACACAUGCAAGUCGAACGGAAAGGCCCUGCUUUUGUGGGGUGCUCGAGUGGCGAACGGGUGAGUAACACGUGAGUAACCUGCCCUUGACUUUGGGAUAACUUCAGGAAACUGGGGCUAAUACCGGAUAGGAGCUCCUGCUGCAUGGUGGGGGUUGGAAAGUUUCGGCGGUUGGGGAUGGACUCGCGGCUUAUCAGCUUGUUGGUGGGGUAGUGGCUUACCAAGGCUUUGACGGGUAGCCGGCCUGAGAGGGUGACCGGCCACAUUGGGACUGAGAUACGGCCCAGACUCCUACGGGAGGCAGCAGUGGGGAAUAUUGCACAAUGGGCGGAAGCCUGAUGCAGCAACGCCGCGUGCGGGAUGACGGCCUUCGGGUUGUAAACCGCUUUCGCCUGUGACGAAGCGUGAGUGACGGUAAUGGGUAAAGAAGCACCGGCUAACUACGUGCCAGCAGCCGCGGUGAUACGUAGGGUGCGAGCGUUGUCCGGAUUUAUUGGGCGUAAAGGGCUCGUAGGUGGUUGAUCGCGUCGGAAGUGUAAUCUUGGGGCUUAACCCUGAGCGUGCUUUCGAUACGGGUUGACUUGAGGAAGGUAGGGGAGAAUGGAAUUCCUGGUGGAGCGGUGGAAUGCGCAGAUAUCAGGAGGAACACCAGUGGCGAAGGCGGGUCUCUGGGCCUUUCCUGACGCUGAGAGCGAAAGCGNGGGGAGCGAACAGGCUUAGAUACCCUGG
rnacentral:rRNA from 1 species